GAGCACAUGUCAGCGCAGUGCGUCGAGGAGAUUGAAAGCGCGAGCACUCACGUUUCGGAACUCGUCAAAGAAAGUACUUUUAUUCACAUAGUUUGGACUAAGUGGGGGACAGUGCCCCGCCGUAGGAAAAUUGUAGUCUAGAAAGGUCAUGAACUACAUCGGCAAGUUCAUAUCCAACUUCAAAGAUUUCUACAAUGAGAUCAAUGCUGCAACUUUAACAGGUGCCAUCGAUGUGGUUGUGGUACGGCAGGAAGAUGGCUCGUACAUCAGCUCUCCCUUUCACGUCCGCUUCGGCAAGAUGGGCGUACUACGGAGCCGAGAAAAAGUGGUUGAUAUUGAAAUCAAUGGAGAACCAGUGGACAUACACAUGAAACUAGGAGAGUCUGGAGAAGCCUUCUUCGUCCAAGAACUAGAGGACAGUGAGGAAAUAAGUCCACUCCUUGGCACCUCUCCUCUACCACCCUCAUUCCUUCAGGAGAAACUUGAUCUUGCAAGAGCAGAGGAUGAGGAAUCAAGACCCAGGGAUUCUGGCGUGGAUGAAUCCAUUUCCUCGUCUGUCGGCCAACAACCGGUGGCAGGGGAUGUGGCGGACACAGCCUCACUGGAACCGGCCGGAGCAGGCGACCAAGGAAAGUCGGAGUCCCCUGCAUCGCACGUGCAUGAGGCAGGGGAUGACAUUAAGAUUGUCAGCAUGAAGUUCUCAGAGGACCCCAAGAGUGAGAUCGGCAUCGUUAGAAUUAUCCGGAAAACUGAUGCCAAAGUGGAGAAGAGAGACCAUGGGACCCAGACUGUUAACAAUGUCAUUUUAACAACCAGCAGCAAGAAGGCAGAGGUUAACAACCAGGGAAAGAUUAACAAUGCAAAGUCAUUACCUGGUGAUGGUGCUGCACAGAAGCGUAAUAAUAUAAUUAAUGAAGGUCAGGGGAGCAAGACUGAUGGAGAAGAAACAGUUAGAAUGAACAAGAGUAUCCGCCGCAAGCGUAAGAAGCGUUGUAAUGGAAAGAAGAGCCGUCCCAAGAGCUCUGGGAGUCAGUCGAGUGACACAUCAACAACAAGCGAGGUUGCUGACAUCAAUGCUGUUUUACCCAAUGGUGGUUCGCCUGGGAAUCAAGAUGGAAUUUUUGUAAUGGAUGAUAUUGAGAAUAAUGACAAGUCUGGUCCAAGCACGUCUACUCCCACCUCCCACAUGGCGCAGUCGUCUUCGAUGCCGUUGCUGCGCGAAAAGUCCCGGGAAGAAGUAGUCGACGAGUGGAGUGGUUCUAUGUCUCGAUCCAUGGGGCCAGAUUUUCAUCCAUUCAGCGACACUGACCUCAGCCCGCCACCAAGCCCUUCGAGUUCAAGACCCCCGACUCCAAUCAAGUCCGACACUGAGUAUGAGGUUGAGAGACAGCGGACGGACUUCAUCGACGGCUCCUCGCAGACCGACGAGAACAAGUGGUCCUGGACAUGGGGUGAACUGCCCACGCCACCUCCAAAGACUCCAACCCGCACUUCAUCCUCGGCUCAGGAUUCCUCUGAAAUGAAGAGUGAAAGCGAGAUGAAAAAGACGACCAAAGGAGAGGAUGAUGAGCGGUCUGUGUUGGGCAGUAUGUUUAGCUUCAUGAGGGCUACCAAGAAAGCUCGUCAUAAUCCAGAGAGUGAGGGCAUCUACCUUGAUGACCUGAACCUGGAGGAACUAGACCCAGAAGUGGCAGCACUGUAUUUCCCCCGUAACUUCAAGGUUCCAGAAAAGCCGGGCUACAACAGCUUCUCCUCUGCAAGUGCUGUGAAGGAUGACGAUGUUGAAUCUGGCAACGGUCCUUCCCUGCCUCAGUCUCCGCACAGUGUCGAGGGAGCCAUUGGUGGACCAAAGCUGUGCAGCGAUUCAGAUUUUGAAGAUUAUAGGCAUCCUAUCUUUGAUUACAAGGGAUACCACGACAUUGCCUUCUCACUGUGUGGCCGCCUCCAUGAAUAUGAGGGAGACUUCCCUGAGAGUCUCUUUAUGCAAAGUCUAGUCACUUACGAUGAUUUUUGUGAGAAUCCACAAAUUCUUGAAAACCCUGACCUUGUUGUUAGGUUUGGGGGAAAGUACCUGAAUUGGCGCACUGUUUCACCGCAGAUUCUCUCUCUCGUCUUGUUCCAGCGACCUGUGCCUCAGAAACUUUCAGAAGCUCUCUGUAAGGAACAUAUGGCCAAAAAGGAGAUCAGGAAGAGGUCCGAGUCGAAGGGAUACUCUUGGUUCUCUUGGAGGCGCACCAAUCCAGAGGAAGCUGAUGCUCUCCAGAAUAAAAGCGAAGAAAGUGGAGUGAAGGAACAAGUUUCUGGCUCUUUGGAGAGUGGCCAGAAAACCAUGACAGAGGAGAUCCUAAAUCCCAGUGACCCAAACCUUGUUGAGGUUACAGCUGCUGAGACUCAAACCACCCCACCUGGCACUCCAAAGAAGAAGGGACUCCACGGUCAUACUCCAGGGACAGAUUCCUCUGAAUCUGAGGAUCUUGAAGAUAGGAAGGACCGCAGGCCUUCUGGAGACCGCUACAAGAAGAGUCUGAGACUGACUUCUGAACAGAUUGAAAAGCUAAACCUGAGAGAAGGAAGCAAUGAAGCCUUAUUCUCUGUGACCACAGCCUACCAGGGAACAACACGUUGCAAGUGCCACAUCUUCCUUUGGAAUCAUGAUGAUAAGAUUGUUGUAUCAGAUAUUGAUGGCACUAUAACUAAAUCUGAUGUGCUAGGGCAUCUGUUGCCCAUCUUAGGCAAGGACUGGGCCCAGAGUGGGGUAGCUCAACUCUUCACCAAAAUCAAGAACAAUGGCUACCAUUUCUUGUACCUGUCUGCAAGAGCUAUUGGACAGGCACGUAUCACUCGGGACUACCUCCGUUCCAUCAAACAAGGGGACCUGUCACUUCCUGACGGACCUCUAUUACUCAAUCCUACAUCCCUAGUACAAGCUUUCCAUCGUGAGGUCAUUGAAAAGAAACCUGAGGAAUUCAAGAUCUCUUGUUUAAGGGAUAUCCAAGCACUUUAUCCACCCGGUAGAAAUCCAUUCUACUCCGGAUAUGGAAAUAAGAUCAAUGAUGUGUGGGCGUAUCGCGCUGUAGGGAUUCCAAUUUCUCGAAUAUUUACCAUCAACCACAGAGGCGAGCUUAAGCAUGAACUAACUCAGACAUUCCAAUCCUCUUACAUACGACAAAGCAAAGUAGUUGAUGAAACUUUCCCUCCUCUGCCAAGAACAAUGGUGCCUCGUAACCUUAUUGGUUUUAUGUACAGUGAUAGUGAAACAGAAAAUUGCAGCUGCAGUGAUAAUGACAUUUGUGACUGUUACGACAGUGACUGGGAGGGGUUUCCUUCGGGUAUAGAUCUAACAGAACUUGGUUCAUAAUUCAAGGAAACCAAUUGGAAGAUUCUUUUGAAGGGACAGUUUAAAUGAAAAAAUGCAUUGACACUGAAAUGCUAAAGGUCAUUCUGAGUAGGUUUAAAGGAAACCACUCCAUUCACAUGGGCCAGGCAGAAGGCUGUCCCACGCUAAUCAUUUCGAGUUCAGCUUCCGUUAAAGCACACUGAAAUUUAGGGUACUCAAACCUCAGUGACAUAUCAAACCACAUGUUCCCUCCUGUUGCUCAU
rnacentral:misc_RNA from 1 species